AUUGAACGCUGGCGGCAGGCCUAACACAUGCAAGUCGAGCGGAUGCAGAGAGCUUGCUCCUGGAUUCAGCGGCGGACUGGCGAGUAAUGCAGAGGAAUCUGCCUAGCAGCGGUGGAUAACGGCCGAAAACGGGCGCUAAUACCCCAUACGCGCUGAGGACGUAAGGGGGGGAGCUUCGGACCUUACGCUAUCACGUGAGCGAAGGUCGGAUUAGCUAGUUGGUGGGGUAAAGGCCCACCAAGGCGACGAUCCGUAGCUGGUCUGAGAGGAUGAGCAGCCACACUGGAACUGAGACACGGUCCAGACUCCUACGGGAGGCAGCAGUGGGGAAUAUUGGACAAUGGGCGAAAGCCUGAUCCAGCCAUGCCGCGUGUGUGAAGAAGGUCUUCGGAUUGUAAAGCCCUUUAGGUUGGGAGGAAGAGCAGUAAGUUAAUACCCUGCUGUUUUGACGUUACCAACAGAAUAAGCACCGGCUAACUUCGUG
rnacentral:rRNA from 1 species